rnacentral:rRNA from 1 species
CGUCAGAGCGAACGUUAGCGGCGGGCCUAACACAUGCAAGUCGAACGAGAAUGAGGGGGGCAACUCCUCUAGUAAAGUGGCGGACGGGUGCGUAACACGUGGGCAAUUUACCUUCCAGCGGGGGACAACCGUCCGAAAGGAUGGCUAAUACCGCGUACGUCGGCGAGGGCUCCGGUCCUUGUCGAGAAAGAUGGCCUCUCCUUGGAAGCUGUCACUGGAAGAUGAGCCCGCGGCCCCAUCAGCUUGUUGGUGAGGUAACGGCUCACCAAGGCUAAGACGGGUAGCUGGUCUGAGAGGAUGAUCAGCCACACUGGGACUGCGACACGGCCCAGACUCCUACGGGAGGCAGCAGUGGGGAAUAUUGGGCAAUGGGCGAAAGCCUGACCCAGCGACGCCGCGUGGGUGAUGAAGGCCUUCGGGUCGUAAAGCCCUGUCGGGAGGGAAGAAAGAGCUCGGGCCUAAUAUGCCCGAGAAUUGACGGUACCUCCUAAGGAAGCACCGGCUAACUCCGUGCCAGCAGCCGCGGUAA